GCCGCAAUAGCUCAGUUGGUAGAGCAACUGACUUGUAAUCAGUAGGUCCCGAGUUCGACUCUUGGUUGCGGCACCA
rnacentral:tRNA from 4 species